UACAGAGGGGGCAAGCGUUAUUCGGAAUUAUUGGGCGUAAAGGGCGCGUAGGCGGCUUUGCAAGUGGCGGGUGAAAAUCCCUCGGCUUAACCGAGGAACUGCCUGCCAGACUGUGAGGCUUGAGACCGGGAGAGGUGAGUGGAAUUCCCAGUGUAGCGGUGAAAUGCGUAGAUAUUGGGAGGAACACCAGUGGCGAAGGCGGCUCACUGGACCGGAACUGACGCUGAGGCGCGAAAGCGUGGGGGAGCAAACAGG
rnacentral:rRNA from 1 species